CAGUAGCCGCGGUAAUACGAAGGGGGCUAGCGUUGCUCGGAAUGACUGGGCGUAAAGGGCGCGUAGGCGGUGGUUUAAGUCCGUUGUGAAAGCCCUGGGCUCAACCUGGGAAUUGCAGUGGAUACUGGGUCACUAGAGUGUGGUAGAGGAUAGUGGAAUUUCCGGUGUAGCAGUGAAAUGCGUAGAGAUCGGAAGGAACAUCUGUGGCGAAGGCGACUAUCUGGGCCAACACUGACACUGAGGCACGAAAGCGUGGGGAGCAAACAGGAUUAGAUACCCCUGUAGUCCCUGUCUCUUAUAC
rnacentral:rRNA from 1 species